GGCAUCCUACGGGGCGCAGCAGUGGGGAAUAUUGCACAAUGGGGGGAACCCUGAUGCAGCGACGCCGCGUGAGUGAAGAAGUAUUUUGGUAUGUAAAGCUCUAUCAGCAGGGAAGAAAGAAAUGACGGUACCUGACUAAGAAGCCCCGGCUAACUACGUGCCAGCAGCCGCGGUAAUACGUAGGGGGCAAGCGUUAUCCGGAUUUACUGGGUGUAAAGGGAGCGUAGACGGUUACGCAAGUCUGGAGUGAAAGGCGGGGGCCCAACCCCCGGACUGCUUUGGAAACUG
rnacentral:rRNA from 1 species